CCUACGGGAGGCAGCAGUAGGGAAUCUUCCACAAUGGGCGAAAGCCUGAUGGAGCAACGCCGCGUGGGUGAAGAAGGUCUUCGGAUUGUUAAACCCUGUUGUUAGAGAAGAAAGUGCGUGAGAGUAACUGUUCACGUUUCGACGGUAUCUAACCAGAAAGCCACGGCUAACUACGUGCCAGCAGCCGCGGUAAUACGUAGGUGGCAAGCGUUAUUCGGAUUUAUUGGGCGUAAAGGGAACGCAGGCGGUCUUUUAAGUCUGAUGUGAAAGCCUUCGGCUUAACCGGAGUAGUGCAUUGGAAACUGGGAGACUUGAGUGGAGAAGAGGGGAGUGGAACUCGAUGUGUAGCGGUGAAAUGCGUAGAUAUAUGGAAGAACACCAGUGGCGAAGGCGGCUCUCUGGUCUGUAACUGACGCUGAGGUUCGAAAGCGUGGGUAGCAAACAGGAUUAGAUACCCCUGUAGUC
rnacentral:rRNA from 1 species